GCGACCAUGGCGGAAUGGUAGACGCAGCGGACUUAAAAUCCGCAGCCUUCGGGUGUAAGGGUUCAAGUCCCUUUGGUCGCACCA
rnacentral:tRNA from 1 species